UACGUAGGGUCCGAGCGUUGUCCGGAAUUACUGGGCGUAAAGAGCUCGUAGGUGGUUUGUCGCGUUGUUCGUGAAAACUCACAGCUUAACUGUGGGCGUGCGGGCGAUACGGGCAGACUUGAGUACUGCAGGGGAGACUGGAAUUCCUGGUGUAGCGGUGGAAUGCGCAGAUAUCAGGAGGAACACCGGUGGCGAAGGCGGGGUCUCUGGGCAGUAACUGACGCUGAGGAGCGAAAAGCGUGGGGGAGCGAAACAGG
rnacentral:rRNA from 1 species